CUGACUUGAAUUCAAGGGGGCUAAAGGGCUUGUUAUAGGAGAAAAUUCUUCAGGGAAAUGACAACACUUUCCUUUUUGCUGCAGCUACUUAGAGCAAAAGGGCAGAAAACUGAGAACAAUUUCUCACAGACUGCAGCUGAACACCAAGAACUCUUGCUGCCCUUGGAGUUCUUCUGCAAACAGACAUCGGCAUGCAGCAGGGACAGUGAGAACCCUGAGUGACCUGGGAGGGCCACACGCCUUCGGCAAACUGAUGCCUGCAGAGAGAACAAAGAAAGUUCAAGGCCACUUAGAAAGGAAUGCAAGCAUCGAAGCUGAAGAGGAGGCCCCCACCGUCGGAAAAAGUGAAUCUGGGUUGCAAGUGAGUGCACGGCCUCAACCCUGUGCUUGCCAUCCACCUGCCAAACCCUCAGUGAUUUUGUCUCCAUCCCUAGAAGUGCCACUACAGAACCAGAAUCCCAGCCUUGCCAUGCACUUGCCAGCCCCAGAGUGACUUUGUCUCCAUCCCUGGAAGUGCCAUCGCAGACCCAGACACCGCAAACAGCUCCUUCCCGGAUCCCGGUAACAGCAGCCAGUCCCCCCGGCACAACUCCAGCCCCCGCACCAGCCGCCGGCUCCCCCAGUAGCGGCGCAAGGCAGACGCGGGAGUCGCGUCCGUGCUCACCGGCGCUCCCCGGAUCAGCAGCCGCGGGGUUCCCAUCCCGGCGCAGCAGCGCUCCUCGGAUCGCGCACCCGCACAUUCCACGCCUCCCGACUCCGCCGCCGAACUGACGCCAGGAGCGCCUCAACGCACGCUAUUUAUGCCCCAAGCCGGACCACCCAGUCAAUCACAACCCGAGGCAGCGCCGGCCCCACCAAUCCCAGCCCGCCCGUUCCCGCCGCGCUCGGCUCCGCGCGCGCCCCCCCCCCCCCCCCUUCCCAUCCCGGUCCCCUCAAGCCCUGCUCCCGCCGCCGCCAUUGCAGGGGCCGAGUCCGCCCGCUCCCCGCCGUCUGCCCGUUUCCCUGGGAGAAAUCCCGGCCAGGACCUGAACGGGAAGCUUCCGCCCGCCCUUUCCGGCCCCAACAGCGCCUGCCGAGGCUGCGGCAGCGGGGACGCAGCUCCGCCGGCUUCCAAAGCGGCAAGUGGCGGCAGGGGCGGAGUGCGGCCGGUGGCGGCGGAGCGGCGCCGGGCUGAGGGGCCGAGCCGCGACUGAGCGGGCUGAGAUUGGCGGGACCGCGCCCGCAUUGAAAGGGCGGCUGUGAUUGGACGGGGCGGAGAAAGGCGGGCUGGGAUUAGCAGGGUUGGGAGCCGGGAGGCUGCGGCCCGUGGGAGCGUGGGGCGCAGCCCGGGCUGCUCGAAGGGCCCGCGGGCGCCCUGGGUCCCGCUCGCGAGACCCGCCCCCCGUCCCCUUCUCCGGCCCUCUCUCGUGUCCAGGUCCCGGCGAAAAGACCCCCGCAGAGCCCCGACCGGAGCGCCCCAUCGGCACUCGGGGCGGGGAGGGGCGUAGGUCGGGAGUGCUUGCGGCUCGCAGAGGCGGACUCUGCGGCAGCAGAGCGGACCGGGGAGCGGCGGCGACAUGUGCUUCCGCUUCUGCGGGACUUGGCCUGCCCCGACUGGCCGAGAUCAGCACGCUGGCCAAAAUAGUUAAGUGCCCGCGUCCCCCUGCCCGCCCUCCGCCUACUGCGGGCCCGCUGCUCACCCUCCUUCUCCCCCACAGUCGUCCGUUGUUAUAGGGGAUAAAACAAUAUUGGUUUUCACGUUCAUAGAUUCGCGUUUUGCAUCACAAGUAUUUCGAUAUGGUACAACUUAUACAUACUUUCAACUGCUUUGUAUAGUAUAAUAUGCCAGUUUAUAUAUGCACUGUAUAUUUCAUAUGAAUAGUAGUGUGAUAAAUAUAUCGUUGGCUUUGGCAAAAUGUUAAAAUAGAAACUAAAGUACUUCUAUGUAACUAACUCGGAGAAUGAUAUGAAACAAUUAUUCUGUUUUUUGUAUCUGCAGACUGGCCUUUCCAAGUGAUAAGGUAACAGUGACAAAAACAGAGCAUAAGCAUCCAGGAAGGAUUUAUCGACUGUAUUGGGAUUAUCAGGGAAUGUGAAGCACCAGGAUAAAACUACAGGAAGAAAUAAAAUAUGUAGACCUAAUUUACAGAAUGUUCUGCAGACAAGUCAGACGUUAAAAGGAAACAAGAGAGUUCCUCGAAUAUCAAAAACUCAAAUGAAUGUUUGAAUAAUGUAUAAUCUGAUGAAUAUGCAUGUAACCGUAUAUAGGGAACGUGUUUGCAAGCUACCUCUGCACUCUUUGGCUAUGCACCAAAUGCACCUCAGUGCUGGAUUAUUUUGUCUUUUUAUCCUUUAUUAAACUUUAAAAUAUUUUAAAGAGUGAACUCUUUAUCACAUCAGUGAAGCUUAAGCUGAUCUGCAUCCAGGUGCUGCAGAACCUACUGGGGGAGGCCCUUGAGCUAAGUGUGAAGCUACCGCAGUGGAGGACAAGUAUUUCAACACUACAGUAGCAUAAUCAGCAGCAUUAAUUAAUUUUGUGUUCUUCAUGUACGCCUUAGCAUUAAGAACACUACUGGCCUCUACUAGUAUUAAUAUGCACAGUAAGUGUUAUUAGUAUUAAUAUUUAGGUAAUAAUUGUUACUGUUAACACUGCUAGUGAGUGUGUUAGCUGGUGUUUACUGUGAAGCUCUGCUCUCCCACAGUAUGACAAGAUCCUGAAGCUGACCUCAGGUGCAAAGUUAGGUGAGCACUGCUGUCCUUACCACAAUCCCCCGAUGGAGCCAUGCUCCAGAGAUGGGCAGCAAUGAGUCUGCGGAUGCCUUCCCAAGGUGACAGAGCUCGCCCUCCCUCCCAUCUGCAGUCAGAGGAUGUGAAGGUCACUUUGGAGACAGCCCCUGAAAUCCAAGACCAAGAAGUGCCAUCGUCCUUGACAGCUGUCAUCUGGGAGGAAUCCUAUGACAUUUGUAAUUCAAGAAAACAAACUCAAAAUUUCAACACCUGAUACACAGACACAAGACUGCCAUUUUCCUGAGGGUCUUUGGAAAUCCUGCAGUGACUUGGAGACUGAGCAAGAGGAGUAUAGAAAACCCGGAACCUCUACUGCCAACUAAUAUCAAACACCUUGCUCUGGAGAAGAGAGAACAGCUUGUUUUCACAUGUCCAAAUUCCUUCAAGUUUUAGUAUCAUCUGUUUCCUGGCAUUGUGAGAAGUGUUUAGCACAACAGAGUGAAUAAAACAGUCCCAUUUUCAGAAGACACAACUGAACAAGAACAGACAGCAAAACUGCUUUGAGGCAAUUUGGGCACACAUUUCCCUUUCUGCAAUCUGAGCUUUCUUUUGUAUCAUGCCUGAAAUUCUGAGUUCCUUAGGGUUGCCCCAGUCCUUCCCUCUCAGUGCUGCUCUAAAAUGAUGAAAAUUAAACUAUUAUUUGUCAAAAACAACUAUGUUCCUCAUAGAAGACAAAUGUUUUUAUUCCAGGUAUGUUGGGGUGGGGGGAACCCAUAAAGGAUAUGGCUCUCUAUUACUUUAGUGUAAUUUAGACUAAUAAUUAAAAUGUGAAAAGACAUUACUAAUACUGUGGGAAAACCCAGAACCAUCUUGCAGUCAUAAAAAUUAGAACAGCCUAUGUUAUAUGUUACUGUUGCUCAUCAUUUUUUCUUGGUGUGGGACAACUGGCUUCAUACUUUUUCUUCAGGGCUUUCAAAUAUCCACGCAAACUGUCAGGGUCCAGUCGAGAAUUUCUGGCAGUCUGAACCAAUCUCAUUGCUAACUGGUAUGCAGCUCUCUGUUUCAUCAUCUCAGGAGUGCUCUUCUGCCUGUGCUGUUCUUAAAAAUAUAUAUACAUUAAAACAUGAAAUAAAUUAUGUUAUAUUACCAAAAAAAUACUAUUUUCCAGCCUGUUUUUGACCUCACAAUUCUUGGUUUGCAUACAAACAUUACACCCAAAACUCCUUUAUCCUAAGGGCCAUUUUGUGUUGUCAGCUAACAGUGACCUUCAGUAUAAUCUUUAAGAACUGGUUCCAGAAAUACAAAGUUUAACGAAAUCUGUUUUCAUUAAAACAUAGGCAGCGCUUAUCAUGUAACCUUUCAGAAACUGAAAAUACAUUUGAGUUGUAUAAAAACUGUGAAAUACAGCAUUAAAAUUUUCUACUACAUACCAAAAUUUGUUUUGCAAUGUGACAUGUGAUUUCCUUUGCAUCCAAAAUUAUGGACGAUGGUAGGGAAGACAUUUCUGCAGCUUUUAGUCCUAAACAUAUAAAACACAAAUCACGAUUUUUAAAUGUCAUUUUUAUCCCUACCUUCCAUUUUAUGUCUUCCAGAAUUAACUUAGCCUGUUUUUCUAAGGGGUCAAGAUUUAAUUUUAAUUAAAAUAAUUUCAGUGUA